rnacentral:rRNA from 1 species
GGGCCCGCACAAGCGGUGGAGCAUGUGGUUUAAUUCGACGCAACGCGCAGAACCUUACCAACCCUUGACAUGCCCGUCGCGGGGACCAGAGAUGGACCCCUUCAGUUCGGCUGGACGGUGCACAGGUGCUGCAUGGCUGUCGUCAGCUCGUGUCGUGAGAUGUUGGGUUAAGUCCCGCAACGAGCGCAACCCUCGCCUUCAGUUGCCAUCAUUUAGUUGGGCACUCUGAAGGGACUGCCGGUGACAAGCCGGAGGAAGGUGGGGAUGACGUCAAGUCCUCAUGGCCCUUACGGGUUGGGCUACACACGUGCUACAAUGGCGGUGACAAUGGGAUGCGAAGGCGCGAGCUGGAGCAAAUCCCAAAAAGCCGUCUCAGUUCGGAUUGCACUCUGCAACUCGAGUGCAUGAAGUCGGAAUCGCUAGUAAUCGCGCAACAGCAUGGCGCGGUGAAUACGUUCCCGGGCCUU